GAAAUGCGAUAAGUAAUGUGAAUUGCAGAAUUCAGUGAAUCAUCGAAUCUUUGAACGCAGAUUGCGCCCGCCAGUAUUCUGGCGGGCAUGCCUGUUCGAGCGUCAUUUCAACCAUCAAGCCCCCGGGCUUGUGUUGGGGACCUGCGGCUGCCGCAGGCCCCGAAAACCAGUGGCGGGCUCGCUGUCACACCGGGCGUAGUAGAUUUUUCGUCUCGCCCAGGGCGUGCUGCGGGUUCCGGCCGUUAAAAAGCCUCUCUUUUUAACCCAAGGUUGACCUCGGAUCAGGUAGGAAGACCCGCUGAACUUAAGC
rnacentral:misc_RNA from 1 species